GGGCGACCUGCCUGUAAGACUGGGAUAACUCCGGGAAACCGGGGCUAAUACCGGAUAACAUUUCGCACUGCAUAAUGCGAAAUUAAAAGAUGGCUUCGGCUAUCACUUACAGAUGGGCCCGCGGCGCAUUAGCUAGUUGGUGAGGUAAGGGCUCACCAAGGCGACGAUGCGUAGCCGACCUGAGAGGGUGAUCGGCCACACUGGGACUGAGACACGGCCCAGACUCCUACGGGAGGCAGCAGUAGGGAAUCUUCGGCAAUGGACGAAAGUCUGACCGAGCAACGCCGCGUGAGUGAGGAAGGUUUUCGGAUCGUAAAGCUCUGUUGUCAGGGAAGAACAAGUACCGUUCGAAUAGGGCGGUACCAUGACGGUACCUGACCAGAAAGCCACGGCUAACUACGUGCCAGCAGCCGCGGUAAUACGUAGGUGGCAAGCGUUGUCCGGAAUUAUUGGGCGUAAAGCGCGCGCAGGCGGUCUCUUAAGUCUGAUGUGAAAGCCCACGGCUCAACCGUGGAGGGUCAUUGGAAACUGGGGGACUUGAGUACUGGAGAGGAGAGUGGAAUUCCAUGU
rnacentral:rRNA from 1 species